GCUGGGCUGACUCCUGGGGACAGCUCCCUGGGCAGGCCAGCCCUGCUGCAUUCCCUGGGCCCUCUGCAGGCAUUGCCUCUUCAGCACGCUUCUCUCUGCCAGAGCUCCCUUCUCACUUUCUUCAUCUUUGAGGGCCGGAAUGGGUCUAGGGCAGACCCGACCACACCAUGUGCCUGGCAAAGAAGUGGCUGAAAACUGAGCUGGCAUCACAGUAAGUUCUACCAAAGGCAGGCUGUACCUUCGCAGCUGCUGACAUUCCAUUAACAUGAGUGGCCCAGAGCGGAUUUUCUCAACCCAACCGCAUCCUUUCUGGGCUGGGGCAAGUGCUCCACCAGUCACUCUGGUCUGAUCUUUCACUCCAGGAUCCUGGGAGGAUCCAGAUUUGUUCCUGAGAUUUCCUCGGGCUGGCAGGGAUCAGCAAACAACUCCACUCCCUCAGAAGGAGCAACUCAGCUGCUCUUCUAAGGAGCACAGGCCCCUCUCCAUCCUGUCCACUGCAACAGGUAGCUGCUGCCCACUCACCCACCUAUCAAUGCCUAGCCCAUGUCUUCAGGAAGCAGGAAGCCUGGCGGAGACCUGGCAUGCCGUCAGGGCUGGUGGGUGACAUUCUGGGGCCCUCACAGCCAGGAGGAAUCGAAGCUGUGGCCACAGCCUCAUCAGAGCGCUGUGACUCCUGCGCGAAGCUGAGGGAAGGCUGCUGGCAGUUGGGGCUGGGGAUAGAGUAGGCAAGCCUGGGCUCCCCUUCCCCUUGCUUAUCUGUCUUAUAAACCAAGUGAGCCUAAAACACCACUUAAAUAAAGGAUUCUGAGACUAAAAAAA